rnacentral:rRNA from 1 species
AUUGAACGCUGGCGGCAGGCCUAACACAUGCAAGUCGAGCGAGCGGCGGACGGGUGAGUAAUGUCUGGGAAACUGCCUGAUGGAGGGGGAUAACUACUGGAAACGGUAGCUAAUACCGCAUACCAUCAGAUGUGCCCAGAUGGGAUUAGCUAGUAGGUGGGGUAACGGCUCACCUAGGCGACGAUCCCUAGCUGGUCUGCUAGGAUUACCAGCCACGCUGGAACUGGGGCCCGGUCCAGACUCCUACGAGAGGCGGCAGAGGGGACUAUUGCACAAUGGGCGGGAGCCUGAUGCAGACAUGGCGCGUGUGUGAAGAAGGCCUUCGGGUUGUAAAGCACUUUCAGCGGGGGGGCGUUACCCGCAGAAGAAGCACCGGCUAACUCCGUGCCAGCAGCCGCGGUAAUAC